UACGUAGGUGGCAAGCGUUGUCCGGAUUUACUGGGCGUAAAGAGCGCGCAGGCGGUCGUUCAAGUCGCGUGUGAAAGCCCCCGGCUCAACUGGGGAGGGUCACGCGAUACUGAUCGACUCGAAGGCAGGAGAGGGUAGUGGAAUUCCCGGUGUAGUGGUGAAAUGCGUAGAUAUCGGGAGGAACACCAAUGGCGAAGGCAGCUCGCUGGGACGGUACUGACGCUAAGGCGCGAAAGCGUGGGGAGCAAACAGG
rnacentral:rRNA from 1 species